GGGCUCGAACUCACGGACCGCGAGAUCGUGACCUGGCUGAAGUCGGACGCUUAACCGACUGCGCCACCCAGGCGCCCCUCAGAGAGCCUUAAAAACAAGGACCUAUAUUUACGCUCCUUCCUCAGCGCUUCCUAACACGUCUUACUGUUGGAAAUUGUACAGUUUUGCCUUGCUUGCGUAGUUACGGUGUCUGCAGGAAAGACAGCAAGAUGACGAGCAAGGCCAUUCUAGAAGGACCAGAACAGGUGGGGCAGGAUGAGGAGGACAAAAGUGAAAACAUUAUCUAACUAGAAGGUUCACCAGAAGGAGAAGAACAAAUGAUUCAGAAUGCUUUGGGAGAAAGAAGCCUUCUUUCUUUCCUCCAAGAAGCCGUCUUUGAUCUCCGACUCUGUGUUGGAUGCUUCUCUUAAUGUGCCUCCUCUGCAGAAUACCUAACGCGGUUGGACUUCAGACAGGGAGGUCGAAAGUCUUGUAAGCUCUCCCUGUGUUCCGCCUGCAGUGUGGCGACAGCAGGGACGAACACGGGUCAGCAAGGGGCACACUCACAGAGACUCCAGCCACUGGGCAGCCAGCCAUCAACCAGAAAGGCCUCCCCAGCGUUGAGCACCGGGUGACCUUUGGACCUUUGCAUGUUCCUGGAGCGAGGGACCCCAGUAACGACUGACGUGUAAUUUCCUGCCAGCGAGCCGAUUGGAGAUUCUCGAGUCGGAGGCAAUCUGAUUUAAAGGAAAUUAAGAAAUCUGAUAUGCUUGGCGCACCUGGGUUUGUAUCCUGAGACCCGUUCCACUGUAACAGGAACACCGGAUUACGAGAGAGGCUCCGCUUGAUCCCAAGCGAACAUUCUAGAACAAGAAAAAGAAAUGCUUUUAAUUAACAAAUUAGAACACCACCAAGAAGAUUGGUUACUCCUGGGGUGAUGUAACAGUGACAAGAUACCAGACAUCCCCACUCUCCCCCGUCAGGAUUGGAACAGCACAACUGGAAAACACAGAUCGGGCACUGUCCACACACCCAGAUGCUGCAGGCAUCCCUGAGUCAUGGCCCGGAUCAGACCCCAGCCCUGCUCCAGCUCUCCCUUGGAUUCUAAUCAUGGCUACCACUGAGCUCUUCAUCUGUUUCCAGUAGUAGUGUCUCCUUUUUCUCCUGUUUCUGUUCAGGGGGCCCCCUCCUCCAGCUACGCAAGUCAGCACCCAUUCAAUUCUGAUACCGACUACCCUGAGUUGUCGAAGACCCCACAGGCCCAGCCCCCAGAAAGACGGCCCUCACUUGAAACGCCAGCCCCAAGUUGGGGGCCCCAGGUCACCUGCACUUGUGGCCAACUGGAUACAAAUUCAGGGAGUUUCCUGAUCUCCUUAGGUCUCAUAAUCCAUUGGAAGGACUCACAGAACUCAGGAACACACUGUAUCUAUGAUCGCAGUUUCGUUAUGAAGGAUCAGGACCAAUCAAAUAAAGAGACCAGAGGGCGAGGUUUGGGGAGCCUGGCCCAACAGUGUGUCCACCAGCCACGAAGCUCCACUGAGCUUUUCACUGGGGUUUCACUAUGUAGGCAUGAUUUACCGAACCAUUGGUGAUAAGACUGAGCUAAAUCUUCAGUCCCCUUUCCUCCCCAGAAGAAGUCACAUGGUACUCAUCACACGGUGGUCUUUCCAGCAGGACCAGGCCCUCCCCACCCCCCAGCCAUCUCAUUCGCAUAAAUUCAGGUGUGGUCCAAGGGACCACCAGGAAUAACAAAGCUUAGAAAAUUCUAAGGAUUGGGUCACGUGGGUGGCUCAGUCAGUUGAGCAUCUGACUCUUGAUUUCAGCUCAGGUCGUGGUCUCAUGGGGCCCUUCAGGCUCCAUGCUGGGCUGGGUGUGGAGCCUGCUUGGAUUCUCUCUCUCCCUUUCUCUCUGCCACCUCCACCUCACUUGUGCAGGCACUUCCUCUCUCUCUCUAAAUAAACUUAAAAAAGAGAAAGAAUUCCAAGCAUUUUGAGUCUUCUUCUCAGGAACCAAGAACAAAAGUAAGUCCAAUUCUUUUUUUUUUUUAUGUUUAUUUAUUUUUGAGACACAGAGAGAGACAGAGAGCA